AGUGACGGAGCUGAGCCUGCCCCUGCAGGUAGCUCAUCCCAGAGCAUUGGCGCUGGCUCCCUUACCGGGAAAUGAAAUGAGAAGUCAGUGCAUGACAUGCUGGUGGUGACAGCUAUAUUCCUUCUGAGUUCAUGUCUCCCUCCUGGGAACAACCCCCGUCUUCUGGUCCGGUGGCCAUCCAGCUGCAGAGUGAGCACUCCACUUCAUGCACUGGGAUCUCAGCUGGAGAGAAGGACAUCAGGGUGACCAUAUCCACCACGGGCCGGGAGCUGCAGGGCAGAAGGCAACCAACUCUCUCCCUCCAACCCAACUGCACGUCCCCCCUCAGAUGUGGGGCUCCCGCCAGCAAAGCCAGAGAACUCUCCUUCCCUAAAGCAGACCUCAACAUGUCACUGUCUCCUCUUAAGGAAAAUAAUAAUGAUACUUUUUAUUUAUUUAUUUUGAGAGAGGGUCUCACCCUGUUGCCCAGGCUGGAGUGCAGUGGCAUGAUAACAGCUCACUACAGCCUCGGCCUCCCAGGCUCUAGUAAUCCUCCCACCUCAGCCUCCCAAGGAUCUGGGACCACAGGCAUGUGCCA
ensembl:lncRNA ITGAL-AS1 ITGAL antisense RNA 1